UACGUAGGGGGCAAGCGUUAUUCGGAAUUAUUGGGCGUAAAGAGCUCGUAGGCGGUGUGUCGCGUCGGCCGUGAAAACCUGCAGCUUAACUGUGGGCUGCGGUCGAUACGGGCAUCACUGGAGUUCGGCAGGGGAGACUGGAAUUCCUGGUGUAGCGGUGAAAUGCGCAGAUAUCAGGAGGAACACCGGUGGCGGAAGGCGGGUCUCUGGGCAGUAACUGACGCUGAGGAGCGAAAGGCGUGGGGAGCGAACAGG
rnacentral:rRNA from 1 species